UACGAAGGGGGCUAGCGUUGCUCGGAUUGACUGGGCGUAAAGGGCGCGUAGGCGGUUCGUACAGUCAGACGUGAAAUUCCUGGGCUCAACCUGGGGGCUGCGUUUGAUACGUGCGGGCUUGAGUGCGGAAGAGGGUCGUGGAAUUCCCAGUGUAGAGGUGAAAUUCGUAGAUAUCAAGAGGAACACCUGAGGUGAAGACGGGUUGCUGGGCUGACACUGACGCUGAGGCGCGAAAGCCAGGGGAGCAAACGGG
rnacentral:rRNA from 1 species